rnacentral:rRNA from 1 species
UACGUAGGGUGCGAGCGUUGUCCGGAAUUACUGGGCGUAAAGAGCUCGUAGGUGGUUUGUCGCGUUGUUCGUGAAAUCUCACGGCUUAACUGUGAGCGUGCGGGCGAUACGGGCAGACUGGAGUAUUGCAGGGGAGACUGGAAUUCCUGGUGUAGCGGUGGAAUGCGCAGAUAUCAGGAGGAACACCGGUGGCGAAGGCGGGUCUCUGGGCAGUAACUGACGCUGAGGAGCGAAAGCGUGGGGAGCGAACAGG